rnacentral:tRNA from 1 species
GGUAUAGCUCAAGUGUUAGAGUACUAGUCUGAAGUGAAAAAGCCAAACUAGAGUUCUGAGUUCAAGCCCCAGUACC